CCCUGUAGCUCAGUUGGUAGAGCAUGGUGUUUGCAACGCCAGCAUGGUGUGUGCAACGCCAGGGUUGUGGGUUCGAUUCCCACAGGGG
rnacentral:tRNA from 1 species